GCUCUGGUGGCCUAGUAGUUUGAGUGUCUGCCUCGGAUGCGGAAGGUCGUGGGUUCGAACCUCGGUAAAGUCAUACCAAAGUC